rnacentral:rRNA from 1 species
AUUGAACGCUGGCGGCAUGCCUUACACAUGCAAGUCGAACGGCAGCACGGGUGCUUGCACCUGGUGGCGAGUGGCGAACGGGUGAGUAAUACAUCGGAACAUGUCCUGUAGUGGGGGAUAGCCCGGCGAAAGCCGGAUUAAUACCGCAUACGAUCUACGGAUGAAAGCGGGGGCCCUUCGGGCCUCGCGCUAUAGGGUUGGCCGAUGGCUGAUUAGCUAGUUGGUGGGGUAAAGGCCUACCAAGGGGACGAUCAGUAGCUGGUCUGAGAGGACGACCAGCCACACUGGGACUGAGACACGGCCCAGACUCCUACGGGAGGCAGCAGUGGGGAAUUUUGGACAAUGGGCGAAAGCCUGAUCCAGCAAUGCCGCGUGUGUGAAGAAGGCCUUCGGGUUGUAAAGCACUUUUGUCCGGAAAGAAAUCCUUGGCCCUAAUACGGUCGGGGGAUGACGGUACCGGAAGAAUAAGCACCGGCUAACUACGUG